AUGGCACUCCUGGAAGCGGUCCUCUUCUCCUCCCUCUGGGCUUUUGGCCUUGGGCAAUUAAAGUGGGAGCAACCUGAAAUAUCAGUUACUGGAGCAAGAGAUAAGAGUGCAGUGAUAUCUUGCAAGGCGUCCUCUGCAGACUUUAGCAAAGAACACAUCCACUGGUACCGGCAUAAACCAGAUCAGAGUAUAGAACAUCUAGCAUACCUCCUAACAGGCCCUACUCUAAAUCACUUAGGAGGGAAGAAAAACAAAAUUGAGGCCAGAAAAGACGUCCCCACUUCCACUUGUACCUUGAAAAUAAGUUUCUUAGAGAAAGAAGAUGAGGCCACGUACUACUGUGCCAGCUGGUUUAAGGGAGGGUCACGUUGGAUCAAGAUAUUUGGAGAAGGAACUAAGCUCAUAGUAACUCCCCCUGAUAGAAGCCUUGAUGUAGACAUGUCUCCCAAGCCCACUAUAUUUCUUCCUUCGAUUGAUGAAAUAAACCUCCAUGAGGUUGGAACACAUCUUUGCCUUCUCGAGAAUUUUUUCCCUGAUGUUAUUAAGGUCUAUUGGAAAGAAAAGAAUGGCAACAGAGUUCUGGAAUCCCAGCAGGGAAAUAUCAUCAAGACUAAUGAUACAUACAUGAAAUUCAGCUGGCUGACCGUGACUAAAAAGUCAAUGGAUAAUGAACACGUAUGUAUCGUCAAACACGAGAAUAAUAAAAGAGGAAUUGAUCAAGAGAUUCUUUUCCCUUCAAUUAACAAAGAGGUCACUACACAUGCCUGCGUGAAAAAAAGAAGUGAUUCCCUGCAGCUGCAGCUCAUGAACACCUGUGCCUGCUACACCUACCUCCUUCUCCUCCUCAAGAGCUCGGUCUACUUUGUCAUCGUCGCCUGCUGUGUGUGUAGGAGAACAGCCGUCUGCGGCCAUGGGAAGAGCUCGUGA